ACUCCCUUCAGGAUAAAAGCGUAUGCCUUGUUGCCGAGAGUGACACAAGACUGGCUUGCCAUCCACACUAAAUCAGAUAUAACCUGCAGCUAUAUGAAGAUCUGUGUAUGAGGUGUGUUUGAAACACUGUUCUGAGCCCAGUAAAACAUCAAAGGUUUUUUUCUCCAUUCUGUCACGGAUGGAGUUUCGGUUCCUCGUCGUUGUCGCCUCCGGCUUGCUUAUAAACUUCACAAGCAGCAACAAUAUAUCUUCCUCAUAAUGGCAUCUGCAUCAGAAAGUGUUGGAAUUCUCUCCUGGAAUCUGAACGGUCUAAAAGCUAAACUUAAAAAUGGAAUUAGUAAAAAACCAAAUGCUGAAUAUCUUCAAUUCUAAUGACGUUGUGCUUUUGCAAGAGACUAAAAUUGGUAAACCGACCGAACGCAAAAAAAAAAAGAUUGAUAGUGACCGGGAAACAAUUGAAACGCAUUUAUCAGAACCUGAAUGUAAACUCGAAAAACUGGAAGAUGCUACAUUCAAAGGGACAGAGACCAACCAGCCCAAGACAAUGUACAUGACGUACUUCAGUUCAAACAGCAAAGGUGUUGCCAUUCUGAUCAACAAACCACACAAUCUGCUGACGGCGUUUUGUGAAGGUGGAGAUUAUGCUUGGGUUCAUGUUGAGAUUGACAAUCAGAGGUACACUUUCGUGAGCGUGUAUUACAGUGCUAAUGAACCUCAUCUCAUCUGUAAUGUCAUGUUGAAGAUUUUCUACAGCUUCUUAAAAGAUGGGUCAGAUAUUUUACAAAGCAGGCUUGUGAUCGGCGGAGACUUUAACACAACGCUUCAUUCUGUAUUGGAUGCGAACAAAGUAAUCAGAGGACAUCGUGCGCGGAGAGCAAGACUGAAUGAGUUCAUGAAUAUACUGGAGCUAUCAGAUGUCUGGAGAGAAAAGAAUAAGAAUUGUCGUGAAUACACACACACACAUCCACCGAAAACAUCGACAAAGAAGCGUCAAAGCCCAACGAUGUCUAGAUUAGACUACGUUUUCAUGUUGGAGAAUGAUGUGGAUUAUGUCAAAAACUGUAGCAUACGCAAAGAUAUAGUUUUGUCUGAUCAUUUUCCUGUGAGCCUGACUCUAAACAAAACAAAAUUGCCAUCGUACCGUCCUCAGCAUAGAGAAGAGUGAUUGGAAAAGCACAGGCAUAUUCAUAUAUUUAUAAAAAUGUGGGUAGCGCUUUAGUUUACAGUAGGUGUACUUUCCUAUUAUGUGCAUGGGUAAUAUCCUACGAGCAAAUGAGUGAUAACACAAGGUGCUUACCUGAAAUGUAUGUACAUGGUAAAAAUACAAGAAACACAGCUGUACUUUACAGUAUUACAUGCAUGGAAAUCAGUUUGUACAUACAGACAAUUGUGGGUAAGAAUAGGCACUUACAGCUAGCGCCUGUACAUAGGAACUAAUUAAACAGUUACUUACUUAGUAAAUAUGUAACAAAUGCGCACAAGUGGAUACAAACAAGCAUGUCCUUACAGUAUCUGUACAUAGUAACCAAGACACAUUACCGCACCUAUGGGAAAAUGUGCUAUUAUGUCGCAUACUGUACUUGCUAUAUAUGUGAUAAAAAUGUAGUACUUACGGACAAGAGAGCUAAUGAUAAAUUGCUCUCCUCAACAGUGCUUACUUAGUUUGAAGAGCUGGUUAUUCCCGUGUAAUGUUUUUGUAGACUGGUGCACUUUAUUUUACAGUAACAUUUCCUAUUAGUUAAUGUACGGAAGAAGUUAUGAGGUGCUUGAGUAAACACGGACCAAUGUACGUAUCGAGCAAUUGAUGGUAGACAAUAGCACAAUAGCUACACAUUUACCAUGUACAAAACCAUUAGUGUGUGCAGUAAUGUGCCUUAGUUACCAUAUACAGAUACUAUAAGGACAUGCCUGUUUGUAAUUACUACAUAUUUACCAAGUAUUUACUUUAGUAGGUAGAGUAAACUAUCUCAUUGGUUACCAUCUACAGGCACUACCUGUAAGUGACCCUUCUUACCCACACAAUUAUUAAGAUGCAUGUAUGACUGUUAAGUUCUGCGUUUCUAUUCAUUAUUGUGUAUGUUUUUUAAUAUCCUUGCUGUUUAAUAGGUACUUCAUCUUCAGCUCUUUAGUGUCGUAUUACUUGUUUUUAUCUAUUGUGGUCAUUGCCGUCUAAAUUUAUAUUUAUAUUCUUUAUCAUUGUUGGUUGCUUUACUUAUUGCUGUUUUGGUUUUAACUGUUUUCUCCUGUUUUGGGGCUCGGAAGGGAUUUAUAUAUUAUAUUUAUAUUUGUCGUGUUUUGCGAAUUUACUGAUUAUUUGUUAUUCUUUAUGCAAAAAUGUUCAGUUGUUCCAUGUAUAAUGAGAAACAUAUCACUUGGAAAAAGGGUUGCUAUUUUUUUUUCUAAUCCCAUCUUGAUUUGUGUUCAACUUCAGCAGAAUGAUCAAAUAUUAAGUAGUUUUCCACAGUUUUCUGAUCAAAAAGCCAUGUGUUGUGUACGUAUUGAAUAUGUAAUACUUCAAUUCUUCAUCGUAAUAAAGUUCAGACUAAAACUGACAACUUAAUUUCCUUUUAUUGGGAUUGAGCAGAUGAGUUAUAUUAUACACAGAUUAUAUUAAACAGAAUUCAAGAGGGAAAGAGUCCUUAAGCUCGAAAGCAUCAAUCUUAUCUGAUAUCUGGAAGAUCUUACGGAUUCAAAAAAGAGCUGAGCUCAAAGAUCAGAAACAUCACUUAGAGAAUAUAUAUGAACAGAAAGCUGAAGGUACCUUUAACAGAUCUCAUGGGAAUUGGUUAAAGGAGAGUAAGCAAUGGUUUCAAUGUCUGUUAAUAAGAAAGCUAUAAAAACAUCUAGAACUGGUGCCUGUUUAAGAUUUUUCCUUAAUAUAUUUUUAUCUGCCCUCUCUCUUCUUUUUUGUGAAUUCUUUCUGUAUGUGUCUUAAGAAUUUUUAUAUUAUGUUGCUUUUUUCUCUUAUCUAUUAAUCCAUUCGUGGUAUGUAUUUAAUAAUGUUUUGAACACAGGCCUUCUGUUCUUUUGUAUUGGUUUUGUAAGUACUGUAA